rnacentral:rRNA from 1 species
UACGGGGGGGGCAAGCGUUGUUCGGAAUUACUGGGCGUAAAGGGCUCGUAGGCGGCCAACUAAGUCAGACGUGAAAUCCCCAGGCUCAACCUGGGAACUGCGUCUGAUACUGGAUGGCUUGAAUCCGGGAGAGGGAUGCGGAAUUCCAGGUGUAGCGGUGAAAUGCGUAGAUAUCCGGAGGAACACCGGUGGCGAAGGCGGCAUCCUGGACCGGCAUUGACGCUGAGGCGCGAAAGCCAGGGGAGCAAACGGG